UACGUAGGGUGCGAGCGUUAAUCGGAAUUACUGGGCGUAAAGCGUGCGCAGGCGGCACAUUUUGUCAGGCGUGAAAGCCCCGGGCUUAACCUGGGACUGCGUUUGAUACGGAUGGGCUAGAGUUCGGGAGAGGAGAGUGGAAUUCCCAGUGUAGAGGGUGAAAUUCGUAGAUAUUGGGAAGAACACCGGUGGCGAAGGCGGCUCUCUGGACCGAGACUGACGCUGAGGCGCGAAAGCGUGGGGAGCAAACAGG
rnacentral:rRNA from 1 species